AACAAAACAAAAAAAGGGCAAUAAAUUUUCAAUCUUCUCAAUCCCAUGCACCAAAAUAAGUUAGUGUGUUAUAUCACUAACAUUUCUUAGUGCAUGUACAUCUCAGCCUGAAGCCAGGACAUUUGCCUCCCAUGAAGCCCUCUUUUUGGCAAGCAUCUGCACAGCUGCUUGAUCGUAAGCAAAAUCCCUUGAAUUUCGUGCUCAGAGACUCACAAGUCCUUGACUCCACCUUUGUUGUGACCUUGCCCUCAGCAACCAUUGGACCCGUCCCUGCCAAACAUUCAUAUAUAAAAAUUAACGAGAGAAGGUGGAUUCAAACUUGAAACAUCUUCUAGCAUUGGAAAGAAAUAUACCACUAAUCAAAUAUAAAAAUAAAAUUAAAAUGAGGAAAGAGAGAGAUACCAAUAGCCACAAGGAGCAGGACGAGGAUGAAGACAGUUGAAAACACACGUCUAGAUCCCUCCAUCUUGAUUUUUGUGUGUGUACGUGCACGCGUGUGAAACAGAAAGAUAGACGGAGGGAUGUUGAAUGUUGAUUCAAGAUGCCUUGAUUCAUAGGUGAACCUUUCAAGGCCUUUUAUAUAGAGUUGUUAUGAAGCAAAUUAAGUACAUUUCCGUAAAGGGCGG
rnacentral:lncRNA from 1 species